AGCAUGUUCAUGUUCUGUUUAACCACAAUCAUUAGCACUUAAUGAAUAAUAAUCUGUAUCACUAGUAUUAGAGUUUUUCAUUUAUUCACAUCCCUGGGGAAAACUGAAACUGAAGUGAGAAAAACAAAAUUAAGAUUUUUAAACCCAGAAGUGUUACUUACUUUGGAUGUAUUUAUAUUAAAAUAUCGCAGAUGUCCCAUAGCAUAUG